GAUGAUUUGUAAUUUGGGAUGAUCUUAUAUGAGUUUUGUUUAGAUAAAGUUGAUUGGUAAAGAUUGAGAUGCAUUGUUUGAAAGAAGCAAGCUGAAUCAUCUCUCUCAGAUCCUAUAUCGCAUAUGCUAAUGAUUUUUAAUCGACUUUGGUGAUUCGACUUGGUCACACUUUGCCACAAACGGGUCAAAUGGUUAAAUUUUCAUAGAUAAGCAUUUUAUCCCUUUUUCUUCUGAUGUAAUUUAAUCAUUUCGCUUUAUUGGUUUUGUAGUUAUAUGAGUUUCUAUUAACGACUACUGGUAGUAAAAAGUUUGUGAAGCUAAUUUUCAAAUAAUUUUUUUUCAAGAUUUAAUUACCACCAUGUUAGACGUUCACUUUUAUAGUUUUUCGUUAGGCUUUUGGAAAUAAUGUCCAAGAAUUCAAUGAUUUGAAACGAGGAUCCUGCACUUCGUCAGGAAAUCGACCUUGAAGAUGAAAGAGUUGCAGGCACAUUGCAUUCUGUAUAGAUUGUGGAGUUUUAAUUGUAAAGGUUUACACUUGUGUUGCAAAACUCAAAUUAUAUGGCCUUUUGCUACAUCUUGUCGUAUAGCAUAGGCAUUAGGUAAAAAGAGUUAUCCGAUGAGAAACCAAAGGGCAAGGCAACCAUACAUUAUCAGCUUCGGCUUGCAGAUCUGAUUCAUACAUUUUCUUCACUACAGAGAGAUUUUAAUUUUAUUCAUCAUACAAGUAUUCCCGGAUGGAAAGAAUAAGAUAAAGUUGAUUGGUAAAGUUUGAGAUGCAUUGUUUGAAAGAAGCAAUCUGAAUCAUCUCUCUCAGAUCCUAUAUCGCAUAUGCUAAUGAUUUUUAAUCGACUUAGGUGAUUCGACUUGGUCACACUUUGCCACAAACGGGUCAAAUGGUUAAAUUUUCAUGGGUUAAAUGGGAAACAAACUUUUAUUCCUUGGCGGUUACUCAAAGGAGACCUUUGAUAAUGUUACAGUGUGUUUCAUUGAUCUUGAGUCACAAGUGACUGGGGUUUUGGAAGCCACAUGAAAAAAAUCUGGUAGCUUGUGGUGGGCAAUCUGUGACAUUGGUUGGUUCAAAACUUAUAAUGUUUGGGGGAGAGGGCAAACAUAGACUGCUUUUGAAUGACUUUACUGUCCUUAAUCUAGAGAUAAUGCUUUGGAAUGUUACCGAGACCACUUUUUAAAUGGUCAACGAACUUGUGUCCCUCGCCGGUGACCAACUCCCUGUUCCGAUAAGUCGGAUAAGUUAUAAAUUCAUAGUUACAAUUUAUUUCUUGGAAAUAUAUCUAAAUUUUUUUGACUAAAAGAAUUUUUAGAAUAAAUAAAUUUCGCCAGCCUUUUUUUAGGUUAAUAAUUUCAGAUUGAUGAUAUGGGAAGCCCUGAUAUUAUCAAAAUUUGUGGGUGAUUUUGGGUUGGAGCUUCCAUAUUUAUAUCGGAGGUUGGCGUGAGCCGGUGGCUAAUGUGUCGGCUCAAAGUUUCACGGUUUUGGGAUUACCCUACCCGGUUCGGAGGAGGUGUCAAACCGAAUGUUGGAGAAUACCAUGUCGAGUCUGCUCAACUGGGCCGCGUACGCUCAUCGAGUCGUCUUCGAAUCAAUAAGGUGCCAAAAAGUUUACUUCUGGAUGCAUCUGGAAAACUCAGUUACGGAUUUUAUAUCGAGUGCCCUUGCUCAACAAGUUAAUGGCGCUGGCUUACUUCACACAAUGGAACUCCAAAACAUGUCGCUCUUGAGGUGCAAACAAUUGAAGGACAAAAAAAACAUCAGAGGUUAUAUAUGGGGAAAAGUGAGUCUUCUAUGGAUUUAUAUUUUUUUUCGUGGUGUUUAUAAGAUCACUCAACGUGUUUGUAAACAUAAUUGGUUUUUCACGCUGGAACGAAGCUGGUUUGUGUUGUAUUAUCACAGCCCAUUCCAUCUAAGCUCCGAUACCUGCAAAAGGCCAUCAAGAUCAAGUUUUUACUGUGUCUAAGUUUUUUGCAGCUGAUCUUUAAUGAUGAAAUCCAAAUUUUUUUAGCAAGCUCUCAACCUCUUUCAUGUAGUACACAUGUUAUAAUAAAUAAAAAUAGAUUGGGGACACGUGCCCUCUCUAAUAAUCGACACUACCCGUUUUUCGGUACCGGUACAGUACCGGUAUCUUGGUUGAUUUAACGGUACCGUACCGGUUAUAUUCGGUAUCGAUACCUGUUUUUCCCAUUUUUUGGUACCGGUACCGGUCCAGUACCAUGCUCAUCUUUAUUUGCUGGAUUUAGUGUUCAUUUUCGUUGAUUUCAAUCGUAUGAUUAGUUGACUUCAUGACAGAAUGAGACCUUCAUAUGCACAAUUUGUAGAAAAAUUUACCAGGAACAUUGAACAAUUAAAUGGAAUCCCAGCUAUAACACAUAACAACAAGGUAACAAUCUGACUUCUAACAAUAUACCUUAUUGUAAUUGCAUGUACCGGGUAAUAAACUGGCCAAUAAUUGCAUGGUUAUCUGGUGGUUAAGGAUUUUCUCAUCGUCGAUGAUUAUAUACUCUCAAUUAUUUGAAUGUUUUUAUUUUGUUUUGCAAUGUUGAUAUUGAUUAACACUUAAUAGAAAGUAAAUCGUUUAAUAACAAUUAAUCAUUGUGAAUAUGAGUUAUUCGUUUGGGUUUGUCGAAUCUGAAUCUGAUUUUACCUGAUUUAUUUGAAACUGUAUUAAUUAAAUAGCUAUACAAAAUCUAUACCACCUGGAACUUCAAAUAUGCACUUCAAAACGGUGAGAUAGAGAAUUCAAUUCUACUACUCAAGUAUAUUUAGUCGGUUCUAAAUUUCCUAAACAAAAUUGAAUAGUCGGUACCUAAGAAAAUGGAAUAGUAAGCCUAUGAACGUAACAACAGAUGAUUAUAGCUCCUUAUAUUAGGUUAUGAGUGAAUUAAGUUUGUUUUAUAGAAAUGUUUUUUAAAAGAGUUAAUAGGCAUGCUACUUAUUGCAUUAAGAACUUAGUAAGUAAGGGAAUUUGUU